UACGUAUUAUUAGCACUCCGUCACGCUCCUGUCAUCGCCACGUACGCUUUCCUACGCUUCUCUACGUGUGCGCGCGUCAACGCGCCGAAAUUCCUGAAUAACCUCCACCACUUCCUACCUGUCCCUCCACAAUUUUCAACAACACUUGCCGAUAUCGAAAUUUCCCUUCCUUGUCCUCUUCCUCUUUCUCUUCUUAUCUCCCUCUCUCUAUGUCUCUUUUUUUAUUUUUCUCACUUACAUUGAGCUUCGAAGAAAGAUUUACGAUCCGACCAAAUUGAUCCUCGUAUCGGGUCGUGAAGCUGUCAAUUUACUAACUAAUUAAAAUUUAUACAAAAUUUAUAAUAAGGUCGAUUCGUAGGCAAAGUUUUGAUUGUGCGGGAAUCGGCCGUAAGUUUGGACGGCUGAUACCGUCACUCGCAGACGAGUCGAAGCCACGUUUUACACGACGCGACGAUCGAAAGCGGAUCCUAACACUCUGCGGGCAUUCGUAAUUUACGAGUUACCGGCUCCGCUCGGGCUAAUUUUCGUGCUGGGUGAAAAUUACACCAACGCGGGGCUGGUGCUCUCUGCGACGAGCGAGAGACAGAGAAAGCAUCUCGUUCCCUCCCACUUUUCUCUUUCACUCCCUCGCCCUGAAAGUGACGCAAAAUCGUGCUGCCGGCGCGGGCUGGCUUGUACCGAGAUGUCGAUAGCACGAGGAGCGGAUGUCAAUAGCACGAAGUCGCUCCUCUCGCGAGGGAGAAACCGCGUCAACCGAUUUUACAGGAUUUUCGCGGUAACGCUAGGAGAAAACCCGCGAUCCUUCUCGAUCGUUCGCUCUGGAUCCCAAGUUGACGCGGUGUUUGCGCGAAUCCUCGUGUCUCGAUGAACCGAACUUCCAAGGAGAAGGCGAAACAACUUUUCAAUAGCUCUCUUUUUGCCCCCCAGAUACGAAUAUAGCAGCCCUUGCAACCGUUCGAUCCGAAUCGCUGCCGGUGACACUCUCUCUGCGGCUUUAACCCGCCGUACUUCCAGCUGGCUUUUGUAUUACUUUACACGACGAAGGCUGUUCUCCUUGUGCCCGUGUCAUCGAGACGCAACUAGCCUGCUUUGUGUCUCUCGUUGACAAAGAGCGCGUAUUGUGCUAACCGCGUUCCACGCUUCUCUUCUGGCCGCACGUGCAGCCGCGGAAGAACCAGACUGACUAUCCAACGAAACAGGAUUCUUAUUUCGAAGAAUCGUUGACGCGUCCUCGAGGGAAAAGAGGGAAACAGGAUGGAACGGAUAGAAAACAGCUGAGGCGCAGCUGGUUUCUGGCAUCGCGACGGCUGGCGUCUUCCACACGGUGCCUCGCGCCUAUGUACAUAUGCACGGCGCCUGACGUAUGUGUACAAACCAUCCAUGGUAGAAAGCAGAAUCGUAAUCGUUAUUCGAACAACAUUUUUAGAGGAGAAACAAUAAACGAGCCUGAAAAAUGUUGCGAUCUUGAAACGAUAAUCUACAGAAAAACUCAUCUUUAUCAAAUUAACGUCGAAGGGGCUUGUAAAAGAAAUUCCGACGAAUUUGUUAUGCACGUAUUACUGUUUUCGUGAAUCGUCAGAAAGGGAUGCGGAUCUUUACCGUAAAUUACACUUAGAAUCGCGAUCUUAAUUUUGAAAAUUGUACUUCAAUUUAAUUUAAGUAAUUUGCAGUGAUUUAGUAGUCGUGUACAUGCACACGUAUAAUCGCGCGUUUCCAGCUUGCCCUCGUGUUAGCAUCUUUACCGACAUCUCUUCGCGUCGUUGCAAACUACGAGUCGCGGUUUAAAUCGAUU